CAGAAAGAAAGGAAAACAGUCAAGCAAGUCAAAAUACUACUACUUUAGCCAUUAAAAUCAAGGACCUUUAGUUCUUCCUCAAGGACUAGAGAAUACUCUCAGCCAUAUCCUUUGACCUGUUUCGCAGAUACUGAAACACCAGGUGGGAAAAGUUAACUGUAUCUGCCCACAAGCAGGUAGACCCAUGUGGUUGGAACCAGGUUGAUGGUGUUGACUCCUGAUUACCUGACCACCAACCAAUCAGAAGAACGAGCACCAGCUGAUGCCACAUUGCUUGUUGAACACUUUAAGACAGGGCACUACCCCCUCCAGGACAGGACGCACAGUCUUGACCACAGCAGCCCGCUGUGCCCCUCUUUGCCUGGCAAAGCAGUCAAGCUAUUUCUUUGUACUUCACCCAAAACCCUUGUCUCUGUGUUUCUGUUCAGCACCAGUGAACAGAGGCUGAGUUUCAGCAAUUCACAGUCUCUCUCGAAAUAUUUUAUUUGACAAGUGUAAGGCUUUUUUCAUCUUAAGCAGUUUUAUAACUUGCAGUCUGAGGUGCGACAGCAAAACUAGCACAGAUUUCUUGUUCUUUGCUUGCAAUUUCAAGAAUAAAAGAUCUGUUCUUAAACCAUAAGUCUUAGCAACCUCCUCGUAGGACUUCUUUCCUUAAGUCACCUUUUCACUUGGAGGAAGCACUUCACGACUUCUCUUUGGCAUACCCCAAUUGACAAAUCAUUACUCUAGAGUUUUGGCGCCAUUAUUAAGUAAGUAAGGGUCAUUUGAACAUAAACCCUGCUGAUAUGAAGACUGCGGGCCUGACUACCAAGUUGACUGGUAAGUUUCUAAUAGUUGGGGUUUGCUGAAAAAAGGGAGGAGUCACAGCUGAGCCAGACCACGCGAGAUGUCUUCACGCGAGAUUUCCUCAUCCUACUCAGAAGGUGCACACGUGUGAAUUGUUCUUUUCUGAUGGAAUAGACCAGGGUUGACUGUGGGUAACUGAAACUGGAUGAAGGGAUGCUGCUGGAAAACAAGUGAAGAUCCCUGGGCAAAGACUGACAAAACUCUCUCUUAAGGCCACUUGGUUUCACAGAUUCUCAAAGGGAAGAAAUAAUGGAUAUUAUUUAAUAACAGAAUUUCUAGGCUUAGGGCUGUGUGUUUGUGAGGAGUCCCAAUUCAUAUUUCCAUGGACCAAAAGGGCCCCUUUCCCACCAACGUGUGAAGCAAUGGGAGGUGAGACCUCACCUUAAACACCAAAUGUGUUCUCUGAUCCAGCAUAAAAAAGGCCCUUGAAAUCCUUCUCCCCAGACCGCCACACAUGUUGGUGGAAGGUCUCUCCUUUACUGAAGCACACUCAGAGUCCCUCGCUGCAUGACCUGCUCCUCCUAUUCUGCUGAGGCCAAAAUGUGUCAAAUGGACAGAUGGCUCUGCCAGAGAUAGUCAGAUUUUGUCAAACCAAGAAAAUUAAAGCCAGGCCCUGUCAUAAAAACACAGCUUAUGGGUCUGCCGGAUGCACCAGCAAAACCGGUCUCAUUCACAGCUGCACUCCCUCCUGGCAUUUCAACGUUGGCCAAAUGUUGAUUCGAAGCAUAACUGACUCAGAAAUCUCCCAGGCAACCUCUGCUUCAGCCGACACAGCCGACUGCUUUUGGAUUCUACACACAAUAGAGGCCACCUCAUAGAGAAGCACUAGGAAAAGUACAGAGGAAAGAAACAGAAGAGACAUGUCUAAGAAGAAAACUGCCAGGCUCCUCUGUCCAUGAGGAUUCUCCAGGCCAGAAUACUGGAGUGGGUUGCCAUGCUCUCCUCCAGGGGAUCUUCCCAACCUAGGGGUUGAACCCAGUCUCCUACAUUUCUGGUGGAUUGUUUAUACUCUGAGCCACAAAGGAAGCCCAAGAAGAAAACACAGUCUAUGAUUUUACCACUCAGAGAAUCUCUAGGAAUGUUUUGUGUAGUCUCUCCAAUGAUCUCUCCCCAGCACCACCAUGAUGUUUUUAAGUUUAUCCAACACAGGGUGGAGAAGACGUGAACAUGCUGAGAAUAAGACCUUUGUUUUGCUAGCUUCCAUGGAGAGGGGCCAAGGCAGAAAAAGUCAAAAGUAAGCUGACCACCUCUCCACUGAGCUCCAGGUCUUUACUAGUACAAGUGAAACGGGACACUCAGAGCCGUGCAGACUCCAGAGAUCUCAGCCCCACUGUGUGCCUUGCUCCAUCAUGACUAAUUAUCUUUGUGUCUUAUAUCCCUAUUUAUUUCAGACACACGGGAAGCCCAGCCUUUCCUAUUUUUUUCUAGUACCCUAGCCACUAAUCCGUUUCUGAAUAUCCUCUCUCUCUCUCCUUGGUGGUGGUGGUUUAGUCUCUAAGUCGUGUCCAACUCUUGUGAACCCAUGGACUGUAGCCCACCAGGCUCCAAUGUCCAUGGGAUUUCCCAGGCAAGAAUA